rnacentral:rRNA from 1 species
UACGAAGGGUGCAAGCGUUACUCGGAAUUACUGGGCGUAAAGCGUGCGUAGGCGGUUUGUUAAGUCUGUUGUGAAAGCCCCGGGCUCAACCUGGGAAUGGCAAUGGAUACUGGCAGGCUAGAGUGCGGUAGAGGGUAGUGGAAUUCCCGGUGUAGCGGUGAAAUGCGUAGAGAUCGGGAGGAACACCAGUGGCGAAGGCGGCUACCUGGACCAGCACUGACGCUGAGGCACGAAAGCGUGGGGAGCAAACAGG